ACCCCUGAUAUUUUAUCCCAAAGAAAAAAAAAAAACCCCUAUCCAGCCCUAACUUGUUCUCUGAAGGUCGUGUGCCCUGCGCUUCUUCUCCAUCAGUCCGUAGUCUUCAUCCAUAGUCGUCGUCGUUCGUGGCGGACGCUUGGUGGUCGGUCGUCUGUCGCAUCCUUCUCCCUGCGCUACUAUGUUCUGCGUUGCUCUGUUCUGUGGUCUUCUGCGUUGUUUGCCCGUCGAAGCCGUCACUGUGCCUCGCCUCGCGUCACCUCGCGCCUCGCCUCACUGUGCCGUGCCUCGCCGGCGCUGCGUCUCGAUCUGUCUGUACUCGAUCUGUCAAAAUAGUUUCUUCAAAGCAAUGGUGCUGAUAUUUUGAAUCAAGGACAGGAUACUAAAUAUGUAAAAUUCUUGAUUCUUGCAUUGAUGGUCUUAGUUUAGUGUGGUGCAAAUUUCAAGGUGGACGAGGUUAAGAAGGAAUUAAUUGGCAUGUCAAGGGUUGGGAAUGCUGCUAAUUGGUCGAAUAAUAUAUAAAUAUGAAUUCUUUUUGAACUAAGGCUUUUAUUAUAUGGUAGACUCGGUUGAAUUUUCAUGUUCUAGUACACAAAAAUAUAUUGAUGUCAGAGCCAGAUUAUAUAAUUGUCAAGCCUAUACCAAACUUAGCUAGAGAUGGUCUUGGAGCUGCAUUUCUUUCUUUUAUAUUAAGCCAAAUGUAAAAUAUUACAUGAUGAUAAUGAAUAAUUGAAUAAUGGAAACUGAAUUUUAUAUAUACU